rnacentral:rRNA from 1 species
GAUUUUAAGCUUCCUACGGGAGGCUGCAGUGGGGAAUCUUGCGCAAUGGGUGAAAGCCUGACGCAGCCAUGCCGCGUGAAUGAUGAAGGUCUUAGGAUUGUAAAAUUCUUUCACCGGGGACGAUAAUGACGGUACCCGGAGAAGAAGCCCCGGCUAACUUCGUGCCAGCAGCCGCGGUAAUACGAAGGGGGCUAGCGUUGCUCGGAAUUACUGGGCGUAAAGGGAGCGUAGGCGGACAUUUAAGUCAGGGGUGAAAUCCCGGGGCUCAACCUCGGAAUUGCCUUUGAUACUGGGUGUCUUGAGUAUGAGAGAGGUGUGUGGAACUCCGAGUGUAGAGGUGAAAUUCGUAGAUAUUCGGAAGAACACCAGUGGCGAAGGCGACACACUGGCUCAUUACUGACGCUGAGGCUCGAAAGCGUGGGGAGCAAACAGGAUUAGAUACCUUGUAGUCGAAUUC